rnacentral:rRNA from 1 species
UACGUAGGGUGCGAGCGUUGUCCGGAAUUAUUGGGCGUAAAGGGCUCGUAGGCGGUCUGUUGCGUCAGGAGUGAAAACUCGGGGCUUAACCCCGAGCCUGCUUCUGAUACGGGCAGACUAGAGGUAUGCAGGGGAGAACGGAAUUCCUGGUGUAGCGGUGAAAUGCGCAGAUAUCAGGAGGAACACCGGUGGCGAAGGCGGCGACCUGGGUCGAGACUGACGCUGAGGCGCGAAAGCGUGGGGAGCAAACAGG